AAGUAGGGAGAAAGGAAAGACCAUCAUCCCUGAGUGACCCCCACUUAAUUCUGUGCUCAGUCUGACCUGCCCACUAUGGACAAGAGGGACUCCUGGAAUUCAGAGAAGCUCUGACCAUUCCCUUCCCUCCAUCCAAUGACCUGCUUAGACCUUCAACUGACCCUGCCCUGGAGAAAUACGAUUUGAGCCUCAUGUGUAAUUUAAAAUUUUCCUGUACUGCCCAAAAACAGUAUAAUAAAAUGGAUGAAAUUUA